UGGGUCCUCCCGGCGUCUGUUCUCCCCCGUCGUGCGCGGUGCUGCGGCGCCGCCUGCCGUGCGGAGGAGCUUCUCUUCCCUCCGCGCUUUGCUGGACAGUCUUGUGAUUCAAGGGUUCGAGAUGAGGAUCCUCGUGGCCAGGUUUCCUGGCUUUUUUUCUUUUCCAUCUUCUUUGGUACUUUCUUCUUAACAGCAUGUAAUUAAUAGCUCCUCUCCCACUGAAAACCUCUUUCAAGGAAAGGUAUUGUCUCAGUACCUAGUACUUGUGUGAAAAAGACUAUAGCUAAUAUUUAGGGCUGACUUAGAGCCCAUUUCUAAGUGCAGUUUAGUACGGCAUCUUUUGAUGUGUGUGUCUGUUGUAAUAGUAUACAAAUGAGGAAAUGGAAGCACGAAGAAAUUAGGAACAGCACAGUGUCCAGGGCAGUUCUGCCUGUUGGAAUAAAUGUCUGUCAGGUCACGGGAGUGCCUGGGUUUGAUUCUCAGCGUGCACAGAGGCUCACAACAGUUGGUAACUUCAGAUCCAAGGGAUCCAUUGCUUCUUUAGGCACCAGAGCUGAGGACUGAUCCCAGGGCCGUUCCAUCUUACAGAGGGGCAUUGUUAGCUCAGAAAGUAAACAACUCAGAGGCUUGUGGAUGUCCCUGAAACUGAUUGAAUUCACUAGGCUUCUUCCUCCCAAGUAUGUAUAAGCAGUAAGGACUACCAAGAGACACUCAGACAGGCGGAGUUGCCUAGAAAAGGCUCACACCAACCAUACUGCCUGGAAGAAGCAGAGGCCAGCUAAGCUGCCUGGAAGGGACACUCCGACCUGUUGAGCUUCCUGCGAGUUGCGAAGUGCUGUUGAUGUCUCCAGCUUCUGUGAGCUGUCACCAUGCUGGAGUUGUCUUGGAGUCAUCUCUGCUUCUGUAAGUCAUCUCAAUAAAACUCACUGGUUCACCAAGUUGGACUCUGGUGGUAUCCUUCCUUUGGCCUGUCAUCAGUUCUGAGAUGUUUGUUCACAGCUCCCCAGGAACAGUGCCACACAACACAAGCAUACCCUAUGUGCUGAAGGAGUUGUGGCUUCACCAGGAAAAGAGCCUGAUGAGAAAAAUGCAAACCAUGUUUUCUAGGAUUUUCUUAAAGAUACAAUUGUUCAAGUGAAUAAAUGAAGCUGGGCUGCUAAAAAAUACCUGCAACAGGAUAAGUCACCAGAGAUUUACUGCUCAGUUGUGGAGGCUGUGACUCCCACAAUGAAGGCUCUAUAGAGCAGACCAAAUGUCUAAAGUUUUAUUUUUUUCAUUGAUGGUGUCUUUUGUUUGUCCUGGUGUGGCAGAGGAGCAGAGGGGACAAACAAGCUUCCUUUGGCCUCUGAAGGGCU